AACGCACAUUGCGCCCCUUGGUAUUCCAUGGGGCAUGCCUGUUCGAGCAUCAUUUGUACCCUCAAGCUCUGCUUGGUGUUGGGCGUUUGUCCCCUUUACAAGGACUCGCCUCAAAAAUAUUGGCAGCCGGCAUACUGGUCUCGGAGCGCAGCACAUUUUGCGCCCCAUUUCCUGAAUACUGGCGUCCAUGAAGCCCAUAUAUUUUAACUCUUGACCUCGGAUCAGGUAGGGAUACCCGCUGAACUUAA
rnacentral:misc_RNA from 2 species